rnacentral:rRNA from 1 species
GACGAACGCUGGCGGCGUGCCUAAUACAUGCAAGUCGAACGCAUUUUCUUUCACCGUAGCUUGCUACACCGAAAGAAAAUGAGUGGCGAACGGGCGAGUAACACGUGGGUAACCUGCCCAUCAGCGGGGGAUAACACUUGGAAACAGGUGCUAAUACCGCAUAAUUCCAUUUACCGCAUGGUAAAUGGAUGAAAGGCGCUUUUGCGUCACUGAUGGAUGGACCCGCGGUGCAUUAGCUAGUUGGUGGGGUAACGGCCUACCAAGGCUGCGAUGCAUAGCCGACCUGAGAGGGUGAUCGGCCACACUGGGACUGAGACACGGCCCAGACUCCUACGGGAGGCAGCAGUAGGGAAUCUUCGGCAAUGGACGCAAGUCUGACCGAGCAACGCCGCGUGAGUGAAGAAGGUUUUCGGAUCGUAAAACUCUGUUGUUAGAGAAGAACAAGGAUGAGAGUGGAAAGUUCAUCCCUUGACGGUAUCUAACCAGAAAGCCACGGCUAACUACGUG